rnacentral:rRNA from 1 species
GAUGAACGCUGGCGGCGUGCCUAAUACAUGCAAGUCGAGCGAACAGACGAGGAGCUUGCUCCUUUGACGUUAGCGGCGGACGGGUGAGUAACACGUGGAUAACCUACCUAUAAGACUGGGAUAACUUCGGGAAACCGGAGCUAAUACCGGAUAACAUGUUGAACCGCAUGGUUCAACAGUGAAAGACGGUCUUGCUGUCACUUAUAGAUGGAUCCGCGCCGCAUUAGCUAGUUGGUAAGGUAACGGCUUACCAAGGCAACGAUGCGUAGCCGACCUGAGAGGGGGAUCGGCCACACUGGAACUGAGCCACGGUCCAGACUCCUACGGGAGGCAGCAGUAGGGAAUCUUCCGCAAUGGGCGAAAGCCUGACGGAGCAACGCCGCGUGAGUGAAGAAGGUCUUCGGAGCGUAAAACUCUGUUAUUAGGGAAGAACAAAUGUGUAAGUAACUAUGCACGUCUUGACGGUACCUAAUCAGAAAGCCACGGCUAACUACGUG